AUUGAACGCUGGCGGCAGGCCUAACACAUGCAAGUCGAGCGGAUGACGGGAGCUUGCUCCUUGAUUCAGCGGCGGACGGGUGAGUAAUGCCUAGGAAUCUGCCUGGUAGUGGGGGACAACGUUUCGAAAGGAACGCUAAUACCGCAUACGUCCUACGGGAGAAAGCAGGGGACCUUCGGGCCUUGCGCUAUCAGAUGAGCCUAGGUCGGAUUAGCUAGUUGGUGGGGUAAUGGCUCACCAAGGCGACGAUCCGUAACUGGUCUGAGAGGAUGAUCAGUCACACUGGAACUGAGACACGGUCCAGACUCCUACGGGAGGCAGCAGUGGGGAAUAUUGGACAAUGGGCGAAAGCCUGAUCCAGCCAUGCCGCGUGUGUGAAGAAGGUCUUCGGAUUGUAAAGCACUUUAAGUCGGGAGGAAGGGCAGUAAGCUAAUACCUUGCUGUUUUGACGUUACCGACAGAAUAAGCACCGGCUAACUCUGUGCCAGCCGCCGCCGUAA
rnacentral:rRNA from 1 species